AGUGGCGGACGGGUGAGUAACGCGUGAGAAUCUGCCUUGGGGUCGGGGACAACCACUGGAAACGGUGGCUAAUACCGGAUACGCCUUCGGGUAAAAGAUUGAUUGCCCUAAGAGGAGCUCGCGUCUGAUUAGCUAGUUGGUGAGGUAAGAGCUCACCAAGGCAGCGAUCAGUAGCUGGUCUGAGAGGACGAUCAGCCACACUGGGACUGAGACACGGCCCAGACUCCUACGGGAGGCAGCAGUGGGGAAUUUUCCGCAAUGGGCGAAAGCCUGACGGAGCAAGACCGCGUGAGGGAGGAAGGCUCUUGGGUUGUAAACCUCUUUUCUCAGGGAAGAAGCUCUGACGGUACCUGAGGAAUCAGCCUCGGCUAACUCCGUGCCAGCAGCCGCGGUAAUACGGAGGAGGCAAGCGUUAUCCGGAAUUAUUGGGCGUAAAGCGUCCGCAGGUGGCGAUUCAAGUCUGCUGUCAAAGCACGGGGCUUAACUCCGUAAAGGCAGUGGAAACUGAAUAGCUAGAGUGCCGUAGGGGUAGAGGGAAUUCCCGGUGUAGCGGUGAAAUGCGUAGAGAUCGGGAAGAACAUCGGUGGCGAAAGCGCUCUACUGGACGGCAACUGACACUCAGGGACGAAAGCUAGGGGAGCGAAUGGGAUUAGAUACCCC
rnacentral:rRNA from 1 species